rnacentral:rRNA from 1 species
UAGGGAAUAUUAGAAAUGGACGAAAGUCUGAUCUAGCAACACCGCGUGUGCGAAGAAGGCCUUCGGGUUGUAAAGCACUUUUUGGAAGGAUUAGGAAGGAAUGUACUUCCAGAAUAAGUCUCGGCUAACUACGUGCCAGCAGCCGCGGUAACACGUAGGGGGCAAACGUUAUCCGGAUUUACUGGGCGUAAAGCGCGUGUAGGUGGUUCUGUAAGUAGGGCGUGAAAGCUCCUGGCUCAACUGGGAGAGGCCGUUCUAAACUGCAGAGCUAGAGGAUGGUAGAGGGAGGUGGAAUUGCGGGUGUAGCGGUGGAAUGCGCAGAUAUCCGGAGGAACACCAGUGGCGAAAGCGGCCUUCUGGACCAUUCCUGACACUCAGACGCGAAAGCUAGGGUAGCAAACG